rnacentral:tRNA from 1 species
UGGCUCAGUGGAAAGAGCACGGGCUUGGGAGUCAGAGGCCAUGGGUUCGAAUCCCAU